ACAGGGGAAAGGUGGAUUAUUGGUACUAUCAGAGAGGGAGAGAGACAGGGGAAAGGUGGAUUAUUGAUACUAUCAGAGGGAGAGACAGGGGAAAGGUGGAUUAUUGGUACUAUCAGAGGGAGAGACAGGGGAAAGGUGGAUUAUUGGUACUAUCAGAGGGAGAGACAGGGGAAAGGUGGAUUAUUGGUACUAUCAGAGGGAGAGACAGGGGAAAGGUGGAUUAUUGGUACUAUCAGAGGGAGAGACAGGGGAAAGGUGGAUUAUUGGUACUAUCAGAGGGAGAGAGACAGGGGAAAGGUGGAUUAUUGGUACUAUCAGAGGGAGAGACAGGGGAAAGGUGGAUUAUUGAUACUAUCAGAGGGAGAGAGACAGGGGAAAGGUGGAUUAUUGAUACUAUCAGAGGGAGAAACAGGGGAAAGGUGGAUUAUUGGUACUAUCAGAGGGAGAGACAGGGGAAAGGUGGAUUAUUGAUACUAUCAGAGGGAGAGAGACAGGGGAAAGGUGGAUUAUUGGUACUAUCAGAGGGAGAGACAGGGGAAAGGUGGAUUAUUGGUACUAUCAGAGGGAGAGACAGGGGAAAGGUGGAUUAUUGGUACUAUCAGAGGGAGAGACAGGGGAAAGGUGGAUUAUUGGUACUAUCAGAGGGAGAGAGAGGGGAAAGGUGGAUUAUUGGUACUAUCAGAGGGAGAGAGACAGGGGAAAGGUGGAUUAUUGAUACUAUCAGAGGGAGAGACAGGGGAAAGGUGGAUUAUUGGUACUAUCAGAGGGAGAGAGACAGGGGAAAGGUGGAUUAUUGGUACUAUCAGAGGGAGAGAGACAGGGGAAAGGUGGAUUAUUGGUACUAUCAGAGGGAGAGAGACAGGGGAAAGGUGGAUUAUUGGUACUAUCAGAGGGAGAGAGACAGGGGAAAGGUGGAUUAUUGAUACUAUCAGAGGGAGAGAGACAGGGGAAAGGUGGAUUAUUGGUACUAUCAGAGGGAGAGACAGGGGAAAGGUGGAUUAUUGGUACUAUCAGAGGGAGAGAGACAGGGGAAAGGUGGAUUAUUGGUACUAUCAGAGAGGGAGAGACAGGGGAAAGGUGGAUUAUUGGUACUAUCAGAGGGAGAGAGACAGGGGAAAGGUGGAUUAUUGGUACUAUCAGAGGGAGAGACAGGGGAAAGGUGGAUUAUUGGUACUAUCAGAGGGAGAGAGACAGGGGAAAGGUGGAUUAUUGGUACUAUCAGAGGGAGAGAGACAGGGGAAAGGUGGAUUAAUGGUACUAUCAGAGGGAGAGAGACAGGGGAAAGGUGGAUUAUU